UUUUUAUAAAUUUGUGAAUAAUUUUCAAAAAACAUGAUUAUUUUUUGUAAUAAAAAUGAAAAAGCAAAAGAAACGGAAAAGGAGAGAUAAAAUAUCUAUAAAAAACAGAAAACGAAAAACUUAUAAAAAACGGAAAAGUUACAAAAAACAAAAGAAACGAAAAAAAAAGGUUCAGCAAAACCAGAAAAGGCAAGCCACGAACCACCUAGAAAGUUCCCAAAACCAGGAUGGCUGAAGCGCUGGAUGGGCUGGCCCAGAUCAUCCCUGGCUCUACAACUUGAUGCAAUGUGCGUCAUAAUUUUCCCUGUUCUUCUUCUACCUUCUGUACGGUAGUUGAUCUGAAUGAUCUCCUGGUAUACUUCACUGAGCCUGUCUCAGUCAUGGAAUGCUGGUCUCCACUGCCUGAAGCAACGCCCAUGAAGAAUGCUUAAUACUUUUUCCCACCUCUCUUGUCUUGCUACCUUGGUCUCCAUGCAACGCUAUUAAUGGUCGUUUUUUCUUUAGAAGAAAAUGUUGUUUUUCGAAGUUAGAUUGCUGUCUGCGUGCAGUCAUAAACUCUAAUGUAGUUCUAGUUUUUUAUUUCCAGUACUUUAUUUGCUUUCACUUUGAC
rnacentral:lncRNA from 1 species